rnacentral:rRNA from 1 species
GACGAACGCUGGCGGCGUGCUUAACACAUGCAAGUCGAGCGGAAAGGCUCCUUCGGGGGUACUCGAGCGGCGAACGGGUGAGUAACACGUGAGUAAUCUGCCCCGCGCUCUGGGAUAGCCACCGGAAACGGUGAUUAAUACCGGAUAUGACCGCUACACGCAUGUGUUGGUGGUGGAAAGUUUUUCGGCGCAGGAUGUGCUCGCGGCCGAUCAGCUUGUUGGUGAGGUAAUGGCUCACCAAGGCUUUGACGGGUAGCCGGCCUGGGAGGGUGACCGGUCACACUGGGACUGGGACACGGCCCAGAGUCCUACGGGAGGCAGCAGUGGGGAAUAUUGGACAAUGGGCGGAAGCCUGAUCCAGCAACGCCGCGUGAGGGAUGACGGCCUUCGGGUUGUAAACCUCUUUCAGUACCGACGAAGCGAAAGUGACGGUAGGUACAGAAGAAGGACCGGCCAACUACGUGCCAGCCGCCGCAGUAAAAC